CUAUUGAUUUUGUUGUAAUUUGCACACGGUGAGAACUCCGGCCAUAAUUAAAGUUGACCGGCAAUGACGUGGACUAUACGCAUGGCAUUUUUAUUGUAUGUGGCAAUACGCGUGGCAAUUUAAUUGAUUUGGCAAUACACAUGUCAUUUUUAUUAAAAAAAUUAAAAAAAAAAACAAAAAUUCAUCUAUCUCUCAAGCUUUCCACCACCGCCGGCCGGCCGGCCAGCUCAAGCUUUCCACCACCGCCGUUCCUCUCCUUCCUCAAGCUUUCCACCAUCCUGGAGCGAAUUAAACACAUUCAACACAUUCAAUUAUCCAAAGCUAAGAUAACUUAGACAAAUCCAUCAUCCUGGAGCGAGCAGAGGAACAUGGCAAUUUGCAAAUCCAUUAUCCAAAGCUUUCCACCACCGUCGUUCCUCUCCUUCCACAAAAAUUCAUCUCUCUCUCAAAUCACAGCGUCGUUCCUCUCCUUCCUCAAGCUUUCCACCACCGCCGGCCAGCUCUUCCACCAAAAUCAGGCCCUCGACCUCCUAGAUCCCCAAAUCGCAGCCCUCGGCCUUCAUCCUCUCCAACAACGCC
rnacentral:lncRNA from 1 species